rnacentral:rRNA from 1 species
GAUGAACGCUGGCGGCGUGCCUAAUACAUGCAAGUCGAGCGAAUGGAUUAAGAGCUUGCUCUUAUGAAGUUAGCGGCGGACGGGUGAGUAACACGUGGGUAACCUGCCCAUAAGACUGGGAUAACUCCGGGAAACCGGGGCUAAUACCGGAUAAUAUUUUGAACCGCAUGGUUCGAAAUUGACAGGCGGCUUCGGCUGUCACUUAUGGAUGGACCCGCGUCGCAUUAGCUAGUUGGUGAGGUAACGGCUCACCAAGGCAACGAUGCGUAGCCGACCUGGGAGGGUGGUCGGCCACACUGGGACUGAGACAAGGCCCAGACUCCUACGGGAGGCAGCAGUAGGGAAUCUUCCGCAAUGGACGAAAGUCUGACGGAGCAACGCCGCGUGAGUGAUGAAGGCUUUCGGGUCGUAAAACUCUGUUGUUAGGGAAGAACAAGUGCUAGUUGAAUAAGCUGGCACCUUGACGGUACCUAACCAGAAAGCCACGGCUAACUACGUGCCAGCCGCCGCCGUAA